UACGGAGGAUGCAAGCGUUAUCCGGAUUUAUUGGGUGUAAAGGGCGUGUAGGCGGGAUAGCAAGUCAGGUGUGAAAUACCAAGGCUUAACCUUGGGGCUGCAUUUGAAACUGUUAUUCUUGAGUGUCGGAGAGGAAAGCGGAAUUCCUAGUGUAGCGGUGAAAUGCGUAGAUAUUAGGAGGAACACCAGUGGCGAAGGCGGCUUUCUGGACGAUAACUGACGCUGAGGCGCGAAAGCGUGGGGAGCAAACAGGAUUAGAUACCCUGGUAGU
rnacentral:rRNA from 1 species